UACGUAGGUGGCAAGCGUUGUCCGGAUUUACUGGGCGUAAAGGAUGUGUAGGCGGAUACUUAAGUGAGAUGUGAAAGCCCCGGGCUCAACCUGGGGACUGCAUUUCAAACUGGGUAUCUAGAGUGCAGGAGAGGAAAGCGGAAUUCCUAGUGUAGCGGUGAAAUGCGUAGAGAUCUGGAGGAAUACCGGUGGCGAAGGCGGCCCCCUGGACAAAGACUGACGCUCAGGUGCGAAAGCGUGGGGAGCAAACAGGAUUAGAUACCCUGGUAGUCCACGCCGUAAACGAUGAGUACUAGGUGUAGGAGGUAUCGACUCCUUCUGUGCCGCAGUUAACACAAUAAGUACUCCGCCUGGGAAGUACGGUCGCAAGAUUAAA
rnacentral:rRNA from 1 species